UGUUUCUUGCAGCCGCUUAGCGGACCCAUUAACAACUGACCUGCGAAAUAUGAACUCCUUAGCAAAGAUCAUGAGACAAAGGCGUAUCGACAGAGGAGCACUUACACUUGCUUCAGCAUAAGUUAAAUUUCAAAUUGAUACUGAAACUCAUGAUCCUUUAGAUAUUGGUUCAUAUACUUGACAUGGAAUGUUUUUCUUACCUAAAUCGUGCUCUUGAGAGCUCGAUAUCGCCGAUAGUUAUAUUUGCUACGAACAGAGGAGUAUGUAAUGUAAGAGGAACUGAUAUGACUAGUCCACAUGGCAUACCUGUAGAUCUGCUGCAUCGUCUUGUAAUAAUUCGAACAGAAACUUAUGGCCCUACUGAAAUGAUUCAG